AAUAAAUAACAGUGCAGAGUUUCAUAGCUAGUUUUGUGAGAAUAAU
rnacentral:guide_RNA from 1 species